GCCAUAAGCUCGACUUCAACAGCAUUGCACAAGGUUUAUGAAUCAUUAGAUCCAGUUCAUCCAGUUUGUAUCACUCUAUCAAAUAAAGGAUGUGUUUGAGCAUCCAGUCAACAGAAGCAGAGCUCUGGGACGUGUGGACAGACAUUCGCUGUAAUGAUGGACAUCUGCUCAUGGACAGGCUGAAAAGCAUAACCCCUGCUGGAUAUCGCUCUGGGACCCAAACCAUCCCCACCCCUUCAUUCACUGUGAG